rnacentral:rRNA from 1 species
AUUGAACGCUGGCGGCAUGCUUUACACAUGCAAGUCGAACGGCAGCGCGGGCUUCGGCCUGGCGGCGAGUGGCGAACGGGUGAGUAAUGCAACGGAACGUGCCCAGUAGUGGGGGAUAGCCCGGCGAAAGCCGGAUUAAUACCGCAUACGACCUGAGGGUGAAAGCGGGGGACGGGAAGGCCUCGCGCGAUUGGAGCGGUCGAUGUCGGAUUAGCUAGUUGGUGGGGGAAAGGCUUACGCAGGCGACGAUCCGUAGCUGGUCUGAGGGGACGACCAGCCACACUGGGACUGAGCCACGGCCCAGACUCCUACGGGAGGCAGCAGUGGGGAAUUUUGGACAAAGGGGGCAACCCUGCUCCAGCCAUGCCGCGUGCGGGAAGAAGGCCUUCGGGUUGUAAACCGCUUUUGUUCGGGAAGAAAUCCUCUGGGCUAAUACCCCGGGGGAAUGACGGUACCGGAAGAAUAAGCACCGGCUAACUACGUG